AGCGAACAGAUGAGAAGCUUGCUUCUCUGAUGUUAGCGGCGGACGGGUGAGUAACACGUGGGUAACCUACCUAUAAGACUGGGAUAACUCCGGGAAACCGGGGCUAAUACCGGAUAAUAUUUUGAACCGCAUGGUUCAAUAGUGAAAGACGGUUUCGGCUGUCACUUAUAGAUGGACCCGCGCCGUAUUAGCUAGUUGGUAAGGUAACGGCUUACCAAGGCGACGAUACGUAGCCGACCUGAGAGGGUGAUCGGCCACACUGGAACUGAGACACGGUCCAGACUCCUACGGGAGGCAGCAGUAGGGAAUCUUCCGCAAUGGGCGAAAGCCUGACGGAGCAACGCCGCGUGAGUGAUGAAGGUCUUCGGAUCGUAAAACUCUGUUGUUAGGGAAGAACAAAUUUGUUAGUAACUGAACAAGUCUUGACGGUACCUAACCAGAAAGCCACGGCUAACUACGUGCCAGCAGCCGCGGUAAUACGUAGGUGGCAAGCGUUAUCCGGAAUUAUUGGGCGUAAAGCGCGCGUAGGCGGUUUCUUAAGUCUGAUGUGAAAGCCCACGGCUCAACCGUGGAGGGUCAUUGGAAACUGGGAAACUUGAGUGCAGAAGAGGAGAGUGGAAUUCCAUGUGUAGCGGUGAAAUGCGCAGAGAUAUGGAGGAACACCAGUGGCGAAGGCGGCUCUCUGGUCUGUAACUGACGCUGAUGUGCGAAAGCGUGGGGAUCCAACAGGAUUAGAUACCCUGGUAGUCCACGCCGUAAACGAUGAGUGCUAAGUGGUAGGGGGUUUCCGCCCCC
rnacentral:rRNA from 1 species